GAUGAACGCCGGCGGCGUGCCUAAUACAUGCAAGUCGAGCGAACAGAUAAGGAGCUUGCUCCUUUGACGUUAGCGGCGGACGGGUGAGUAACACGUGGGUAACCUACCUAUAAGACUGGGAUAACUUCGGGAAACCGGAGCUAAUACCGGAUAAUAUUUCGAACCGCAUGGUUCGAUAGUGAAAGAUGGUUUUGCUAUCACUUAUAGAUGGACCCGCGCCGUAUUAGCUAGUUGGUAAGGUAACGGCUUACCAAGGCGACGAUACGUAGCCGACCUGAGAGGGUGAUCAGCCACACUGGAACUGAGACACGGUCCAGACUCCUACGGGAGGCAGCAGUAGGGAAUCUUCCGCAAUGGGCGAAAGCCUGACGGAGCAACGCCGCGUGAGUGAUGAAGGUCUUCGGAUCGUAAAACUCUGUUAUUAGGGAAGAACAUACGUGUAAGUAACUGUGCACGUCUUGACGGUACCUAAUCAGAAAGCCACGGCUAACUACGUG
rnacentral:rRNA from 1 species